rnacentral:rRNA from 1 species
GCGGAGGGAUCAUUACUGAGUGAGGGCCUUCGGGCUCGACCUCCAACCCUUUGUGAACAAAACUUGUUGCUUCGGGGGCGACCCUGCCGUUUCGACGGCGAGCGCCCCCGGAGGCCUUCAAACACUGCAUCUUUGCGUCGGAGUUUAAGUAAAUUAAACAAAACUUUCAACAACGGAUCUCUUGGUUCUGGCAUCGAUGAAGAACGCAGCGAAAUGCGAUAAGUAAUGUGAAUUGCAGAAUUCAGUGAAUCAUCGAAUCUUUGAACGCACAUUGCGCCCUUUGGUAUUCCGAAGGGCAUGCCUGUUCGAGCGUCAUUUCACCACUCAAGCCUGGCUUGGUAUUGGGCGCCGCGGUCAAUCCGCGCGCCUCAAAGUCUCCGGCUGAGCUGUCCGUCUCUAAGCGUUGUGAUUUCAUUAAUCGCUUCGGAGUGCGGGCGGCCGCGGCCGUUAAAUCUUUCACAAGGUUGACCUCGGAUCAGGUAGGGAUACCCGCUG